rnacentral:rRNA from 1 species
GGCGUGGCGCGAGCUAUAAUGCAAGUCGACGCACAGCGAAAGGUGCUUGCACCUUUCAAGUGAGUGGCGAACGGGUGAGUAACACGUGGACAACCUGCCUCAAGGCUGGGGAUAACAUUUGGAAACAGAUGCUAAUACCGAAUAAAACUUAGUGUCGCAUGACACAAAGUUAAAAGGCGCUUCGGCGUCACCUAGAGAUGGAUCCGCGGUGCAUUAGUUAGUUGGUGGGGUAAAGGCCUACCAAGACAAUGAUGCAUAGCCGAGUUGAGAGACUGAUCGGCCACAUUGGGACUGAGACACGGCCCAAACUCCUACGGGAGGCUGCAGUAGGGAAUCUUCCACAAUGGGCGAAAGCCUGAUGGAGCAACGCCGCGUGUGUGAUGAAGGCUUUCGGGUCGUAAAGCACUGUUGUAUGGGAAGAACAGCUAGAAUAGGAAAUGAUUUUAGUUUGACGGUACCAUACCAGAAAGGGACGGCUAAAUACGUGCCAGCAGCCGCGGUAAUACGUAUGUCCCGAGCGUUAUCCGGAUUUAUUGGGCGUAAAGCGAGCGCAGACGGUUUAUUAAGUCUGAUGUGAAAGCCCGGAGCUCAACUCCGGAAUGGCAUUGGAAACUGGUUAACUUGAGUGCAGUAGAGGUAAGUGGAACUCCAUGUGUAGCGGUGGAAUGCGUAGAUAUAUGGAAGAACACCAGUGGCGAAGGCGGCUUACUGGACUGCAACUGACGUUGAGGCUCGAAAGUGUGGGUAGCAAACAGGAUUAGAUACCCUGGUAGUCCACACCGUAAACGAUGAACACUAGGUGUUAGGAGGUUUCCGCCUCUUAGUGCCGAAGCUAACGCAUUAAGUGUUCCGCCUGGGGAGUACGACCGCAAGGUUGAAACUCAAAGGAAUUGACGGGGACCCGCACAAGCGGUGGAGCAUGUGGUUUAAUUCGAAGCAACGCGAAGAACCUUACCAGGUCUUGACAUCCUUUGAAGCUUUUAGAGAUAGAAGUGUUCUCUUCGGAGACAAAGUGACAGGUGGUGCAUGGUCGUCGUCAGCUCGUGUCGUGAGAUGUUGGGUUUAGUCCCGCAACGAGCGCAACCCUUAUUGCUAGUGCCAGCAUUCAGAUGGGCACUCUAGCGAGACUGCCCGGUGACUAACCCGGAAGGAAAGGGGGGGGUACGACG